GUUUGGUUGUUGCCGCUUAUUUUUCCCUUUUACAUCUAAAUUUUCUAACUUCUUAGUUAGAACAUCUAUAGUGUCCUGUAAAAAUUGAAAGUUUUCACUUGAAAAAGCACCGACUUGUGUUUUCUCGUUCUCUUUUUCUUGGUGACAUUUUUCAGCAAUUAUUGCUGCUGUUCUUAACUCGUCAAUUGUUUAGGGUCUCUUUGUGAACUAUAAUGGAUUUUAACGAGGCUUGAAAUCCUGUCUUUGCAAUUCUUAAUAAUAAGUACUCUGGAAUGUUUUGAUUGUUUGCUUUUAUUUGCAACCUAUCUAGAAAUUCUACGGCCUUUUCUGUUUGUAGUUGUGCAAGAAGAAUAUCGUCAUCUUCAUAUGUAUUCUUAAACCUAUCCUUCAAUGCUGUUGUUAGUUGAUCACAGUUAGAUUGAAUUGGUUCAGCCAAUCCUUCAAACCAUGUCUUAGCGGCUCCUUUAA
rnacentral:lncRNA from 1 species